rnacentral:rRNA from 1 species
GAUGAACGCUAGCUACAGGCUUAACACAUGCAAGUCGAGGGGAAACGAUGGAGAAAGCUUGCUUUUCUAGGCGUCGACCGGCGCACGGGUGAGUAACGCGUAUCCAACCUGCCCAUCACUUGGGGAUAACCUUGCGAAAGUAAGACUAAUACCCAAUGACGUCUCUAGAAGACAUCUGAAGGAGAUUACAGUACCGCAUGAUACAGUGAUCAAAGGAGCAAUCCGCUGAAAGAUGGGCUCGCGUCCGAUUAGAUAGUUGGUGAGGUAACGGCUCGACCAAGUCGACGAUCGGUAGCCGGACUGAGAGGUUGAACGGCCACAUUGGGACUGAGACACGGCCCAGACUCCUACGGGAGGCAGCAGUGGG